CGGGCCGUAGCGCAGUUGGUAGCGCGUCCGGCUGGGGGCCGGAAGGCCGCGGGUUCGAGUCCCGCCGGCCCGA
rnacentral:tRNA from 1 species